rnacentral:rRNA from 1 species
GAUGAACGCUGGCGGCGUGCCUAAUACAUGCAAGUCGAGCGAAUGGAUUAAGAGCUUGCUCUUAUGAAGUUAGCGGCGGAUGGGUGAGUAACACGUGGGUAACCUGCCCAUAAGACUGGGAUAACUCCGGGAAACCGGGGCUAAUACCGGAUAACAUUUUGAACCGCAUGGUUCGAAAUUGAAAGGCGGUUUCGGCUGUCACUUAUGGAUGGACCCGCGUCGCAUUAGCUAGUUGGUGAGGUAACGGCUCACCAAGGCAACGAUGCGUAGCCGACCUGAGAGGGUGAUCGGCCACACUGGGACUGGGACACGGCCCAGACUCCUACGGGAGGCAGCAGUAGGGAAUCUUCCGCAAUGGACGAAAGUCUGACGGAGCAACGCCGCGUGAGUGAUGAAGGCUUUCGGGUCGUAAAACUCUGUUGUUAGGGAAGAACAAGUACUAGUUGAAUAAGCUGGCACCUUGACGGUACCUAACCAGAAAGCCACGGCUAACUACGUGCCAGCCGCCGCCGUAA